rnacentral:rRNA from 1 species
CUGACACGUAGGUGAAGUGAUUUACUCAUGGAGCUGAAGUCAGUCGAAGAUACCAGCUGGCUGCAACUGUUUAUUAAAAACACAGCACUGUGCAAACACGAAAGUGGACGUAUACGGUGUGACGCCUGCCCGGUGCCGGAAGGUUAAUUGAUGGGGUCAGCGCAAGCGAAGCUCCUGAUCGAAGCCCCGGUAAACGGCGGCCGUAACUAUAACGGUCCUAAGGUAGCGAAAUUCCUUGUCGGGUAAGUUCCGACCUGCACGAAUGGCGUAAUGAUGGCCAGGCUGUCUCCACCCGAGACUCAGUGAAAUUGAACUCGCUGUGAAGAUGCAGUGUACCCGCGGCAAGACGGAAAGACCCCGUGAACCUUUACUAUAGCUUGACACUGAACAUUGAGCCUUGAUGUGUAGGAUAGGUGGGAGGCUUUGAAGUGUGGACGCCAGUCUGCAUGGAGCCGACCUUGAAAUACCACCCUUUAAUGUUUGAUGUUCUAACGUGGACCCGUGAUCCGGGUUGCGGACAGUGUCUGGUGGGUAGUUUGACUGGGGCGGUCUCCUCCUAAAGAGUAACGGAGGAGCACGAAGGUUGGCUAAUCCUGGUCGGACAUCAGGAGGUUAGUGCAAUGGCAUAAGCCAGCUUGACUGCGAGCGUGACGGCGCGAGCAGGUGCGAAAGCAGGUCAUAGUGAUCCGGUGGUUCUGAAUGGAAGGGCCAUCGCUCAACGGAUAAAAGGUACUCCGGGGAUAACAGGCUGAUACCGCCCAAGAGUUCAUAUCGACGGCGGUGUUUGGCACCUCGAUGUCGGCUCAUCACAUCCUGGGGCUGAAGUAGGUCCCAAGGGUAUGGCUGUUCGCCAUUUAAAGUGGUACGCGAGCUGGGUUUAGAACGUCGUGAGACAGUUCGGUCCCUAUCUGCCGUGGGCGCUGGAGAACUGAGGGGGGCUGCUCCUAGUACGAGAGGACCGGAGUGGACGCAUCACUGGUGUUCGGGUUGUCAUGCCAAUGGCACUGCCCGGUAGCUAAAUGCGGAAGAGAUAAGUGCUGAAAGCAUCUAAGCACGAAACUUGCCCCGAGAUGAGUUCUCCCUGAGACUUUAGGUCUCCUGAAGGAACGUUGAAGACGACGACGUUGAUAGGCCGGGUGUGUAAGCGCAGCGAUGCGUUGAGCUAACCGGUACUAAUGAACCGUGAGGCUUAACCUU